rnacentral:rRNA from 1 species
UACGUAGGGUGCAAGCGUUGUCCGGAAUUAUUGGGCGUAAAGAGCUCGUAGGCGGUCUGUCGCGUCUGCUGUGAAAACUCGGGGCUUAACCCCGGCCUGCAGUGGGUACGGGCAGACUAGAGUGCGGUAGGGGAGACUGGAAUUCCUGGUGUAGCGGUGAAAUGCGCAGAUAUCAGGAGGAACACCGGUGGCGAAGGCGGAUCUCUGGGCCGUCCCUGACGCUGAGGCGCGAAGGCGUGGGAGCGAACGGG